rnacentral:rRNA from 1 species
UAGCAAAUAUUCAAAUGAAAACUUCAAAAGUCGAAGAGGAGAAAGAUUCCAUGUAAACAACACUUGUACACAGGUUUGUUGAUUCUAAAGGUAGAGGAAGCUCGACAUAUAGCAUGUUUAUUGUGUGCACCAAAAAUGAAUUGAAUUAAAAUUCUUGAACGAGGAUGCAACGGUUGACUGCAACAUUAAAGAGUUCGAAGACAUUAACAGAGGCCUUGUGAAGAGUUAUCUUUUCUAUUUAACAACCUAUUUACCUUUAAAAUGGCUCACCCUAAGGUAGGAUCAAGCGAUUAGAAGAGCACCGUACAUCACAUGAUGUUAGAUGCACCUCCGACAACCCUUGAAAAUUUGUAGUAUCGAGUACCAUUCUAGCUUGAUUGUGCUCCGAAUAGUAUCAGGUCUCCAAGGUGAAUAUCCUUUGAUC